rnacentral:lncRNA from 1 species
GCAUGUACAGAAAUCACCAACACUUAUGUUUGUAGCAGCAUUUGUCUCUCGUUAAAUCUAAUGAACAAGAAGAUAGACAUACUUGAGGACUAAAUUAAAGAUGCAACAUAAAGGGUAAUAUUGUGAUAAAUUUGUACAUAGCCAGAUAUGAAGCGGCAAUGUCCUAUGCUCAUGACAAAUAGCUGUAGAGGUUUAGAAUAAGAAUGCAAAUAGAGUAGGACCCAUUUGGAAAGAAACCCCAUAAAAUCUAAGAGCUAUUUAUUCUAAAAUAAUGCAUGAAAAAGAUAAUUUUAGAAUGAAAGGACCAUACAAUUUGAACAACCAUUCAAGUACAUUAAGAAUCGAGGGAAUGAUUAUUCUAAAUAAUAAUGUAAGAAGAUGAUGCCUAGAAAUUCUUUAAUCUAGAUCAUAAUGCUGAUAAUUUAGCAUAUCAUUAUUGUACUCCAAGAUGAAGGAACAAAGUAGAUUGAUCGUGGUCGUUCCACCAUUGUCUAUUAGUUCAUCCAUGUACUCAAGAGAUGUACAUCAAGUCAUGCAUUAAAAUAAAAUUUCUGAAACAAUACACAUUUAGUAGCAAAAGGAGAUGCUACAAAUUGUCAAAUUCUUAUGGUUGUUCUGGUACAAGGUAGUCAUAUAUUUAUAAUUAGCUAUCUACCAGAAAAAUUCAUUGUAUUUCUAUAAGUUGUGGUUCUUCUUUAUAUCACUUACCUAUUGUCCUGUUUGGCAAGUUAUAAACACAACACAUGCUAAAAGCACUAAUCUGAACUGGGAAUGAAUUGAUGGACCUGUCUCUCAAGCAAUUUGUAAUAUGAAGUUGCAAACUGUAACAACCGUUAAUAUGAACCACUCAAAGCAUCCACAGAAGUGCAUGUUGAUAAUGAAUAUCACAACACAUGUCAAACCAAAUGAAGCGGUGAUUGUGCCAUAGUGUUAGCCAAGGAGAAGCAAAGCAACAUACCUGAAUGUGAACUCUUGCAGCUCACGUGCCUCUUGGAUAUUGUACAUCAAACAUAAGCCCUACAAGAGUCAAAACACAUUUGUGUCCAAAGCAGGAACACCUUCUGAGCAAUUCAAAAAUAGAAAUUCUAACAACUGUACCGCUCUAGCAGCCAUGAUCGCAGUUGUGUGUCAGGCACAUGUUCCAAGCAAUUCCUAUUCCAAUAUAGAAAUUCCAAACAAACAAGCACAACAACCCCUACAACAAGCAACAGUAAAUCAGUUGGGUUUGAUAUGGGAACAUCUACGAAAUCACAUGGAUGAAGAAGAAUCGCUAACUGACACAGAACUAAGCAACGAACAUG